rnacentral:lncRNA from 1 species
CUUUUUCUUUAUCCCAAAUCAGAUAGCGUUUAGGCUCUUUUUCAUCAAAUAUAAAAAUCCAGCCCAGUUCAUGACUUGUUUGGCAGCAACCCUGAGACACUUUACAGUCCUAGACCCUAAAAGGCAAAAGACCGUCUUAUUCUCAAAAUACAUUUUAUUACCCAAUCUGCUCCUGACACUAAAACUCCAAAAAUUAAAUUCCGGCCCUCAAACCCCACAACAAGAUUUAAUUAACCUCGCCUUCAAGGCGUACAAUAAUAGAAAAAAGUUGCAAUGUUCCUUGCCUCCACUGUGAGACAAACCCCAGCCACAUCUCCAGCACACAAGAACUUCCAAACACCUGAACCGCAGUGGCCAGGCGUUCCUCCAGAACCUCCUCCCCCAGGAGCUUGCUACACGUGCCGGAAAUCUGGCCACUGGGCCAAGGAAUGCCCGCAGCCCAGGAUUCCUCCUAAGCCGCGUCCCAUCUGUGUGGGACCCCACUGAAAAUCGGACUGUUCAACUCACCUGGCAGCCACUCCCAGAGGCCCUGGAACUCUGGCCCAAGGCUCUCUGACUGACUCCUUCCCAGAUCUUCUCGGCUUAGUGGCUGAAGACUGACACUGCCCGAUCGCCUCGUGAGCCCCCUAGACCAUCACGGAUGCCGAGCUUCGGGUAACUCUCACAGUGGAAGACGGCAGGAAUGUCAGGCCUCUGAGCCCAAGCCAAGCCAUCGCAUCCCCUGUGACUUGCACGUAUAUGCCCAGAUGGCCUGAAGUAACUGAAGAAUCACAAAAGAAGUGAAUAUGCUCUGCCCCACCUUAACUGAUGACCUUCCACCACAAAAGAAGUGUAAAUGGCCGGUCCUUGCUUUAAGUGAUGACAUUACCUUGUGAAAGUCCUUUUCCUGGCUCAUCCUGGCUCAAAAAUCACCCCCACUGAGCACCUUGCAACCCCCACUCCUGCCUGCCAGAGAACAAACCCUCUUUGACUGUAAUUUUCCUUUACCUACCCAAAUCCUAUAAAACGGCCCCACCCUUAUCUCCCUUCGCUGACUCUCUUUUCGGACUCAGCCCGCCUGCACCCAGGUGAAAUAAACAGCCACGUUGC